GCACCUGUGGUUUGUCAGGUGUCUGUUGUCACAUGAUUGUUUGUUUGCUUCACAAGUAGGGCUGGCACUGCUGUGACCCAGAGUUUGAGGACUGCCUGUCCAUGCUGUUCUCCUGUAGAAAAAGUUUGCACAUAGCGCUCGGUGAUGGGUGGGGGAGUCUGUCCCAAGUCUGUCUGCUUGGAUGGGGGCUGGAGGGCAGUGAGGCGGCUGUCUGGAAGUUCCCGUGGAACAGACAAUGGGUCUCAGGCUGGUGGGUUCCUGCGUGUCUGUGUCUGCAUUGCCCAUUUGUACCUCUGUGUUUCAGCGAUCAUGCAGGCGCUCAACGAAGAGUUCCAGGAUCUUUGAAGUUGGACCCAGAAUCUCCCCACAGAAGAGGCCAAACUACAACCCAUGGAUCCCGCUUCCUUCCAGUUCUUCUACAGCAGUGGUUCCAGCUUCCUAAUGCUAUGGCCUCUUAAUACAGUUCCUUGUGUUAUGUUA